UACGUAGGGUGCAAGCGUUGUCCGGAAUUAUUGGGCGUAAAGAGCUCGUAGGCGGUCUGUCGCGUCUGCUGUGAAAACUCGGGGCUUAACCCCGGGCCUGCAGUGGGUACGGGCAGACUAGAGUGCGGUAGGGGAGACUGGAAUUCCUGGUGUAGCGGUGAAAUGCGCAGAUAUCAGGAGGAACACCGGUGGCGAAGGCGGGCCUCUGGGCCGUAACUGACGCUGAGGAGCGAAAGCAUGGGGAGCGAACAGG
rnacentral:rRNA from 1 species